AGAGAAGGCACAGAACUUGACAUGUACCAGAUGGAGCCAAGACCACAGCUGAGGCCACAAGGUGUAAGCUAGCUGGGCAGUGGGGAAGAACAAGCAGCCAGCUCCCUGAAACAAGCCCCACUUCCCAUCCAGUCUCUGCUUCCUGAGUACAGAUGCAAUGUGACCUCAUGCUCCUGCCAUCAUGAAGCUGCUCACUGCCAUGCCUUUUCCACCACGAUGGACUGAAUCCUGUCAAACUAUGAGCCCAAAAGAAACCUUUCUUUUCUGAAGCUUCUUAUGAGACAUUUGGUCAAGGCAGCGAGAAAGUCACUAACAUACCACAGAGUUUGAUGGGCUCUGCACAUCUCUGCUUGUCGAAUGUAACAGGUCACCACUGACUGACCUCUGGGUCUCUUGCUCUAAGUUUACUGUGAUCGGAAUAGUUACAACUGAGGUGAUCUCCAAAUGCCAUCCUACCUUCAGCAAGAAGAAAAAAAGUAAUGAGUCAUUCCAUAAACAUUCUAUA